GAUGAACGCUGGCGGCGUGCCUAAUACAUGCAAGUCGAGCGAACAGACGAUGAUCUUGCUCCUCUGACGUUAGCGGCGCACGGGUGAGUAACACGUGUAUAACCUACCUAUCAUACUGGUAUAACUUCGGGAAUCCGGAGCUAAUACCGUAUAAUAUAUUGAUCCGCAUUGUUCAUUAGUGAAAUUCGGUUUUUCUGUCUCUUAUAGCUGUAUCUCCGCCGCAUUAGAUAGUUGUUAAGUUAACUGCUUACCAAGUCAACGAUGCGUAGCCGACCAGAGAGGGUGAUCGGCAACACUAGAGCGUAAACAGGGACAAGACUACUACGGUAGGGAGCAGAAGGGAACGUGAGGCAGUAGGCGAAAGCAUGACGGAGCAAGGCGGAGUGAGUGAUGAAGGUGUCCGGAUCGUAAAAAUCUGUUAUUAGGGAAGAACAAAUGUGGAAGGAAAUAUGCACGGAGUGACGGUAACUAAUAAGAAAGCAACGGCUAACUACGUG
rnacentral:rRNA from 1 species